UACGGGGGGGGCAAGCGUUGUUCGGAAUUACUGGGCGUAAAGGGCUCGUAGGCGGCCAACUAAGUCAGACGUGAAAUCCCUCGGCUUAACCGGGGAACUGCAUCCGAUACUGGCAGACUUGAGGACGGUAGAGGUCGGUGGAAUACCAGGUGUACCGGUGAAAUGGGCGGAUAUCUGGUGGAACACCAGUGGCGAAGGCGGCCGACUGGGCCGAUCCUGACGCUGAGACGCGAAAGCCAGGGUAGCGAACCGG
rnacentral:rRNA from 1 species